rnacentral:rRNA from 1 species
GACGAACGCUGGCGGCGUGCUUAACACAUGCAAGUCGAACGGAAAGGCCCUGCUUUUGUGGGGUGCUCGAGUGGCGAACGGGUGAGUAACACGUGAGUAACCUGCCCUUGACUUUGGGAUAACUUCAGGAAACUGGGGCUAAUACCGGAUAGGAGCUCCUGCUGCAUGGUGGGGGUUGGAAAGUUUCGGCGGUUGGGGAUGGACUGGCGGCUUGUCAGCUUGUUGGUGGGGUAGUGGCUUACCAAGGCUUUGACGGGUAGCCGGCUUGAGAGGGUGACCGGCCACAUUGGGACUGAGGUACGGCCCAGACUCCUACGGGAGGCAGCAGUGGGGAAUAUUGCACAAUGGGCGGAAGCCUGAUGCAGCAACGCCGCGUGCGGGAUGACGGCCUUCGGGUUGUAAACCGCUUUCGCCUGUGACGAAGCGUGAGUGACGGUAAUGGGUAAAGAAGCACCGGCUAACUACGUG